rnacentral:rRNA from 1 species
AGUGAACGCUGGCGGCGUGCCUAAUACAUGCAAGUCGAACGAAGUGGCGCACGGGUGAGUAUUAUAUAGUUAAUCUGCCCUACACAGAGGAACAACAGUUGGAAACGGCUGCUAAUAUCUCAUAGUGUAGGAUGCGACUAUAUCGUAUCAGCUAGUUGGUAAGGUAAUGGCUUAUCAAGGCUAUGAAGCGUAACUGGUCUGAGAGGAUGAGCAGUCACAUUGGAACGGAGGCACGGGCCAAACACCUACGGGAGGGAGCAGUAAGGAAUAUUGCGCAAUGGGGGAAACCCUGACGCAGCAACGCCGCGUGGAGGAUGACACUUUUCGGAGCGUAAACGCCUUUUAUCAGGAAAGCGGUACCUGAUCAAUAAGCACCGGCUAACUCCGUGCCAGCAGCCGCGGUAAUUC